UAUAAAUCAUCUGUCCGGCCCUGUCACAAAUAGUCAUGGACGGAAGUACUGAUUUAUAAU
rnacentral:pre_miRNA from 1 species